GACGAACUGUGCGAACGUUGUUCGGAAUCACUGGGCUUAAAGGGUGCGUAGGCGGCUUGUUAAGUCGGGGGUGAAAUACUUCGGCUCAACCGGAGAAUUGCCUUCGAUACUGGCGAGCUGGAGGAAGGUAGGGGUCGCGGGAACUGCCAGUGGAGCGGUGAAAUGCGUUGAUAUUGGCAGGAACGCCGGUGGUGAAGACGCGCGGCUGGACCUUUUCUGACGCUGAUGCACGAAAGCCAGGGGAGCAAACGGGG
rnacentral:rRNA from 1 species